rnacentral:rRNA from 1 species
UACGUAGGGGGCGAGCGUUGUCCGGAAUUACUGGGCGUAAAGGACGCGCAGGCGGCCGAUCAAGUCAGAUGUGAAACCCCCGGGCUUAACCUGGGAACUGCAUUUGAAACUGGUUGGCUUGAGUGCAGGAGAGGAAAGCGGAAUUCCUAGUGUAGCGGUGAAAUGCGUAGAUAUUAGGAAGAACACCAGUGGCGAAGGCGGCUUUCUGGACUGCAACUGACGCUGAGGCGUGAAAGCGUGGGGAGCGAACAGGAUUAGAUACCCUGGUAGUCCACGCCGUAAACGAUGGAUGCUAGGUGUGGGGGGUAUCGACCCCUUCCGUGCCGCAGCAAACGCAAUAAGCAUCCCGCCUGAGGAGUACGGCCGCAAGGUUGAA